rnacentral:rRNA from 1 species
AACGAACGCUGGCGGCAGGCUUAACACAUGCAAGUCGAGCGCCCCGCAAGGGGAGCGGCAGACGGGUGAGUAACGCGUGGGAAUCUACCUUUUGCUACGGAAUAACGCAGGGAAACUUGUGCUAAUACCGUAUGUGCCCUUCGGGGGAAAGAUUUAUCGGCAAAGGAUGAGCCCGCGUUGGAUUAGCUAGUUGGUGGGGUAAAGGCCUACCAAGGCGACGAUCCAUAGCUGGUCUGAGAGGAUGAUCAGCCACACUGGGACUGAGACACGGCCCAGACUCCUACGGGAGGCAGCAGUGGGGAAUCUUAGACAAUGGGCGCAAGCCUGAUCUAGCCAUGCCGCGUGAGCGAUGAAGGCCUUAGGGUUGUAAAGCUCUUUCAGGUGGGAAGAUAAUGACUGUACCACCAGAAGAAGCCCCGGCUAACUCCGUGCCAGCCGCCGCCGUAA